UACGGAGGAUCCAAGCGUUAUCCGGAUUUACUGGGCGUAAAGAGUUGCGUAGGCGGCUUUGUAAGCAAGACAUGAAAUCGUGUGGCUCAACCAUACGGCUAUGUUUUGAACUACAAGGCUAGAGGAUGAGAGAGGUUAUUGGAAUUCCCAGUGUAGGAGUGAAAUCCGUAGAUAUUGGGAGGAACACCGAUGGCGUAGGCAGAUAACUGGCUCAUUCCUGACGCUCAGGCACGAAAGCGUGGGGAGCAAACGGG
rnacentral:rRNA from 1 species